rnacentral:lncRNA from 1 species
AUUAUUUUAAAAUAAUAUGGACAGCAGGGUCCUACCUUUAUUUACAUACAAAUACAAAAUCCACGUUUAUAUACAAAAUACAGGCAAAACGCUCCAGCGGAACUUUAAUUAGUGGUUAUCUCUAGGGGCUGGGAAUCUAAUUUGGCACAAUUUAAUUUCUUUGUAAGUUCAUACAUUUUAAGGUUUCUGCCUGGUAAUCACAAAAGCAGAGAAAGGAAAACCUUUUACUGAGCUGAGCAAUGCCUGUAGAAGCCCUGCUUAGUAGGAGUUCCAAGAUGCUCUGUGUAUCUCAGGUGAAGCACACCUAAAUAAUUGAGCACUGCAUUAAGGCUCAGAAACGUAGUACCGUUGUGUGCUUCUCUGCCAAAAGGCAGCUAUUUUUAUGACAGAAAACACAGCAGCUGUUUUCACAGGUGCAGGGCAGCAGUACAUGGGAAGUUGGUCCCAGCAGAGAAGGAUAUGGUGUCUCUUUAAAACUGGAGGAGGAAGAGGCAGAAAAUGGUGAGCCCCAGUUGAAAUCUGCAAGAGAGAAGGAGGAAGCCCUGGUUUGGAGAAAAACGGGCUCCAGAUGGCUGGGCUACAUUUGUCCUGUGAAAAUCAAAAGCCUGGGACCCAGCCGCUGGGAUACGAGGGCUCUGGUCUUGCUUUAACAGCCAGGGGGACUUUUGGCUUGUUACAAAAAUUGGAAUUUGGAUCUGCAAGAUACGCUAGCCAUCACCCUUAAUUGACAAAUGAGGAAACCAAAGCCGGAGAGGGUAAUUUACUCAAGGUCAUUAAGGUCAGUGCUCUUGUCAAUAAAAUUAGGAUAUUGCUCACAUACUUCAUACUGCUUUUGUUACACACACACACACACACACACGCACACACAGAGCCAAUGUAUGGAAACAUCCCUGAGAAUAUAUAAUGUCAUCACAUUUACUAUUCAAAUUAGCAUCAACUGGUCAAAUAUUUAUUCAGGUAGUAACUUACUCAACAUUUCUAUCUUGACAUCCCCCAGUACAACUUAAUACAAUGCCCCAAUCCCCACAGGACAGGACAACACUCUCUCUCGCUCUCUCUCUUCCUUAAGAAUAGUGAGAUGUGGCCAGGCGCGGUGGCUCACUCCUGUAAUCCCAGCACUUUGGGAGGCCGAGGUGGGCGGAUCACGAGGUCAGGAGAUCGAGACCAUCCUGGCUACUAACACGGUGAAACCCCGUCUCUACUAAAAAUACAAAAAUUAGCUGGGCACGGUGGCGGGCGCCUGUAGUCCCAGCUACUCGGGAGGCUGAGGCAGGAGAAUGGCGUGAACCCAGGAGGCAGAGCUUGCAGCGAGCCCAGAUCGUGCCACUGCACUCCAGCCUGGGCGAUGGAACGAGAAUCCGUUUCAAAAAAAAAAGAAUAGUGAGAUGUGACCAACAUAGCCUGGAAUCUUAAAUUACUGAUAAUGGUGAUUUCUCAUUUAGACAACACUUUUUUCCCCUCCUCAGACAGGGUCUCACUCUGUGGCCCAGGUUGGAGCACACUGGCGCAAUGACGGCUCACUGCAGCCUUGACCUCCUGGACUCAAGCCAUCCUCCCGCCUCAGCCUCCUGAGUAGCUGGGACUACAGGUGUGCACUACCAUGCCUGGCUCCUUUUUUUUAUUUUUUGUAGAGACAGGGUCUCCCUAUGUUGCUCAGGCUGGUCUCGAAUUCUGGGCUCAAGCAAUCCUCUCACCUUGGCCUCCCAAAGUGCUGGGAUUACAGGUGUGAGCCACCACACCCGGCUGCCAACACCACUUUCGAUUUUGGGAUAAUCUGGGUGCACAGUGAUCAGAAGCUUACCUACCCCACGUUGCAUAAAAAAAAGUAUGAAUUUAAAAAUUCCAAGAGUAAACUACCCUAUGAAAACCUCUGGCAGUGCUGAUGAAAACACAUUUCUGGUAGUGAUAUGUCUUGGUCCCUCUGGUCUCACAGAAUGUGUAGUCCUGAGAAAAAAUAAACCUGGACUCUUGGUAAAAUAUUUGAAUAAUUAACUGCUUUGCUCAUUGGUUGUAACUGGCAAGUCAUUCUCUUUACUACAUUAAAGUCUGCACUUUCAUUUUACAGACAGUCCUACAGUUCAACUCCAACAUCAGGGACUGAGUCGUACACAGGAAGAUCACUGAGUAGGUUCUGUGGAGACGCAGUCGGCCCAUAUGCACGUCACCACUCGGCUCCCAGCUCAGGGUAAUUUAAUCAGCAGCACUUCAGCAGGGUAGAAAGCAAGGGCGGGGAAAAAUAAUGAAGUCAGCACUCAGCUACCAGGAGCUCCUCUGUUCAAUCUAACGGGGAGAUAUGACCCCAGAGCAGGGCUUCCCUCCCUCCACCCGGCUCCCACUUCCAGCCAGGUAAUUCUGUGUCGUGGGGGCUGUUGGGCACCAUCCCUGGCCUCCCUCCACGAGUGCCCACAGUACUGCCCUCCUCCCCACCUGUGACAAAAAUGUCUCCAGACAUUGCCAAAUGUUCCCUGGGGGGCAAAAUUGCCCCUGUUGAGCACCACUGCCCUAGAUGAACUGGAAAAGUUGGUUUGUGAAUAUGUGAGCUUAGUUGUUUCUAACACAGGGCUGAAAAACAAGAGAAGGGGACAAAGGCUGCUUUCAUAUAAAAAUGUACUGUAGUAAUCAGUAAGAAAAAGAAACAACAUUGGCUAAGUCACGAAUAGGCAUUUCACCAUAUGUACAUGAUAAAUGGCCAAUCAAAAUAAGGAAUGGGGCUCAUUCUGCUGGAAAUUAAAUACAUUCAAACAAGAACAGAGAUCCAUUAGCAAAAUGUUUAAAAAUAAUAUCACAGGGUUACCAGGGGUAUGACAAAAAUGGACACUUCCAUACACACUAGGUGAAUAUAUUGGUGAAAAUAGUUCAGAUAAACAUACAACCAUGUAUGUAAAAGUAUUUAUCAUCAAUGCAUUAUUUGUAGUAGCAAAAACAACAAGCAGCCUUGGAAACCAGUUAAUGUCCUCAGCAGGGAAUUAAUAAUAUUAUUGUAUAUUCAUGAAAUUGACACCAUGUGGCCACACAAAUGCAUUACACAGGCCUCUAUGUAACAUAGGAUAUUCAUUAGAGAAUUGUUUUUCAAGAGGACAAAGUACUUUCAUUUUUGCCUAGAAAAUGGGGGAAGACAAAAAUGCGCUUCUCUCUAGGUUGUGUGAUUUUAGGUUAUCCUAAGUUUCAUCCUUACGUGCUCCUGAAUUAUCUGAAAUAUCGUAUCUUUAAAAACAGUAACAACAAUAGUAACAAGAGCUCUGUAAUUCCUACCCUUCCAACCUCAGGAGCCCACCCACCCCUAUCCGAGCCGACCCCUGACUGCCCCUGCCAUUGCUCCCUGCUGAGUUGCAGACAUUGACUUCUUGCCAAGCCUCAGGCCUUGCUCACAUCGACACCUCACAGUGACCCUGAGAGGCAGAUGCUGUGACCCCAUUUCACAGAUGAAGGGCCUGAGCCACAGAGGAGGAAGACUGCCUCAGCCACGCCGCUAGUAAGUGGUAGUUCCCAACUCUAGAGUCCCAAAAGAAUUCUGUCCUACUUAUGAAAAGUAUAUCCAAUAAGCAGUACCUCCCUGUGUUUACAACUUAUCUGCUGAUCCCAAGGAUGGGAAAAGCUGCACUCAGAAACUUGCAAAUUGUGCAACUGUUCCCCACGAUUCCCUUGGGGCCAGUGCCGACUGAGGCAUCUCCAGGAGGCCCCAGUUGGGCUUGGGGACAUGCUGAGAGGUGACAGCACUGCUCUCAAGUCAUAUCCUCUGCUUCUGCAAAAGCUGUGGAGCUCACCCAUCAAUAGCAGCUCCAUGCCGGGCGCAGUGGCUCACGCCUGUAAUCCCAGCACUUUCGGAGGCUCAGGCGGGCAGAUCAUCUGAGGUCAGGAGUCCGUGACCAGCCUGGCCAACAUGGUGAAACCCCGUCUCUACUAAAAGUACAAAAACUUAGCUGGGUGUGGUGGUGUACGCCUGUGAUCCCAGCUACUCAGGAGGCUGAGGCAGGAGAAUUGCUUGAACCCAGGAGGGGGAGGUUGCAGUGAGCUGAGAUCACGCCAUUGCACUCCAGCCUGAGCAACAGAGCAAGACUCCAUCGCAAAAAAAAAAAAAAAAAAAAAAGGCUCUAGCAUUGCCAGAUCCCAGGCCCUGUGGAAGGUAUUUCCCUCCCUCUUUUGUCCUUGCUUGUCUCAGAGCCCUUUUCACAGUCUCUUGUGUGCUUCUUUCCCUGUUAGGACCAAUCUUUACAACUCCAGCAAGCGCAGCAAAUAAGAUGCAGAACUGGGGGAGAUGCAACGUAUGACUCAAUUCCCUUGAGCCGAAAACACUCACUUAUUAACAAUAUUUUUUUCUUUUUUUUGAGACAGAGUCUCACAAAAACAGGCACACGCCCCCACACCCGGCUAAUUUUUGUAUUUUUAGUAUAGAUGGGGUUUCACCAUAUUGGUCAGGCUGGUCUGAACUCCUGCCUUCAGGUGAUCCACCUGCCUCAGCCUUCCAAAGUGCUGGGAUUACAGGCAUAAGCCACCACGCCCCACCAAUGAAAUGUUUUCUAAAGGUGUUUUCAUCCCUUUUGUGAUCUCCUAAACUCCCAAGGUGUAUCACACACUUCGCUGGGCUCUGGGCAAACAAAACUUAGACAAGGUCCCUGAUUCUAGAAACCCUCGGUCGAGGGAACCACAAACCAACCAGAGUGGAGGGCAGGGAGAGGUCCUAGGUUGGGAGCUGGGAGCCUGGAGCACGUGCCAGGUGCUCUGCAGCCCAGCUUCAUUAUGGAGGCUCAAGCGCUGUGAAUUUCCAAAAACAGUGAACACACCCCUAGCUGAUUGAAAUACAAAAAACAUAUUCCACAGCCAAAUGAAAAUGACUUUUGGAUCCUCCACCUAAUUUGGGUGUUUAUGCCGCCUCGCCCCUCUUUUGGCCUGGACAAUUGAAAUAUAUCUGCUCUCAGGGGAGACGCCCACGGUGUCAGGGCUGGAGUUGGCAAGAGACAGGGGGAAGAGGACUAGACCUGGAGUCAGAGAUGAAGUUCUUGUCUGGGAUCUGUCACUAAGUCUCAGCGGGGACCCAGGAAGUCACUCCACCUCUCAUAGUUCCUCAUCCACAAAGUGGAAAUACAAGCAAGUUUAAUUCUCCAUCGUAAGGUUGGAGCUCCUGUCUGUGAAAGGACUGGAAAUGUAAAAUGCGCUCUUCAAGUACAAAGGCAGAGAGGAUCCAUAAACAGGCACAGGCUGCCCUUUGGUAUAAACUGUUCACAUUAAAUCUAUGUUAUGUU